AUAUAAACGCUGAAGAAGAGGAGUAAAAGUAAGGCUGGCAUUAAGAGAGGGAAAUUUUUAGCUGAAAUAUUUCCUAUGCAAAGCACUUUGAAGGUAGCUUCUGAGUUCUUCUAUUGAAAAUUUGAGUAGAUAGAAGCGGUUUUCUUACCGUUAUUUAUAGAGAGUCUGCUUUUUUAGCAGGAAUAAAGGUGGUAUCGCGCACAGUCGUCCUUUGA
rnacentral:ncRNA from 1 species